GAGACACGCGGAGUAGGGGCAGCGGUGGCACCGACGGAGACGCCUGCGUCCUCCCCGCCGUGCCGCCCUGCUGUGCGUGUGAU
rnacentral:pre_miRNA from 1 species